UACGUAGGGUGCGAGCGUUAAUCGGAAUUACUGGGCGUAAAGCGCACGUAGGCGGCUUUGCAAGUUAGAGGUGAAAGCCCCGGGGCUCAACUCCGGAAUUGCCCUUAAAACUGCAUCGCUAGAAUUGUGGAGAGGUAGUGGAAUUCCGAGUGUAGAGGUGAAAUUCGUAGAUAUUCGGAAGAACACCAGUGGCGAAGGCGACUUACUGGACACAUAUUGACGCUGAGGUGCGAAAGCGUGGGGAGCAAACAGG
rnacentral:rRNA from 1 species